rnacentral:sRNA from 1 species
UGAAAAAUUCAAGAAGGAUCAGAAUCAAGAGAUGAUUAGUAGUGCCUCCACCCAAGAAACAUACAAGAAGAAAGUCAUCCAAGAAAAGCUUGAUGAUCCCGGUUCGUUCACUCUAUCAUGCUCUCUAGGACCAUUGACAUUCAAUAGGUGCCUUUGUGAUUUUGGAGCAUAUGUUAGCCUUAUGCCUCUCUCUACAGCUAAAAGGCUAGGGAUCAUGGAAUACAAGUUCUGCAACUUAGCUUUACUCUUAGCUGAUGGUUCUGUUGCACAUCCUCAUGAUCUAAUAGAAAAUCAGCCUGUCAAGAUUGGAAAUGUUGAGAUACCUACUGAUUGUGGUAAUGGACAUAGAUGAAGAAGGAAAGGAUCGCCUGAUCCUAGGCAGACCAUUCUUAGCUUCAGCUAGAGCAGUCAUAGAUGUCAUGAAUGGAAAAAUUGAUG